rnacentral:lncRNA from 1 species
ACCAUCACAUAUUUUUUUUCUUUCUAGAUUUGACUUCAGAUAAAUGUCACACUGCAGUAAAGAUAUUUUAAGAAUUACUCAGUAAUCAAACCAUGUGAGUUCAAUGGUCUAUAAGCUUGGAAUCUUAAGAAAUUACUGAUGAUGACAUUGGCUGCCUCAGUUUUAGGAGCUGCUGGAAAUAGCCACUAAUCAAGAGAAAGAGAGAAGGACUAGCCCUGAAUAAUUGGUCAACGAUGCUGAUUUUGUUGGUUUCCUGUUUCUUUUGCUUCCUGGAAAAUACAGAGCAAAUAUUGCAUGUGGGUUGAUGCUACAGCAUCGUCUGAACUUGGAAGGAUGAUCAUGCAUUCUGAUGCCUUGUGGUCUCACUACAGGUCCAAUUUUCAUGUGUUUUAGGAGUCUUGGGAUUAGGUUAUGUACUCUGACUCUGGGCAAAUGGAAACACCAGGUGUGUAAGAUACAGAACUGUAGAAAUCCAAAGAAGGAAAUACCUUUAAGGGAAGCUCUCCAUGGAAACCUAUCAAGCCAUGAAUCUGAAGCAUGCUAAGUGGCUUCUGCUAAAGCCACAUCAGUGGAAAGGUUUAUCACUUAACAACGUCUGCACAUGGAAUGUCAUAAUUCUGUGGGAACUACAGCCAACGACUCAUAGGUUUUCCGGACAACUACACAAAUGUUUUCUUUUACUGUGAUACUUAAAGUAUUUGACUUUUAAUUCUGAAAUUUUCUCUCAUGCCUCCACAUCUGAAAUAAUUCAACGCUAUCUUUAUUUGAAGUCUCUCCUGGUUAGCAAGCUGGCUGGUGGUGAUGUAUCACAUACAGUGGUUUCUGUGAUGUGGGCUGCUGACUAUGGAAAGAUGAAUGAAGAUCACAAUCACAUUAAGUUUGGGGACUAUGGUCAGACUUAAACCAUUAUCCUUGAGGUGUAUGGCUGUUGAUUUAUCAAUGUCCUCAUUUUUAUGAAGGAAAUCUUCUCAAGGUUGCUGUAUGCUCUGUGUGUGUUGUAUGUCAAAUAAGGUAUAAUGUUAUGUUCUCUCAUAACUUCAUAAAUAAGAAUGUAUUGCUUUGAGAGAUGGAAUAAAAUGACAAGUUUUAUUUGGCAUCUAUAUAUUUAAGAGGUCAUGAAGAGAUUAAUGAUUGUUGGCCACUGGUCAAAUUUCUUUGAUGUACACUAUUUUUUUCCACUAAAAUUCUGCACUUGCCAGUCCCUGGAUGAGUUACUCACACAUUUAUAUACAUAAAUUAUGGUACAUUUAUUACAUCAUUUCCAACCUAGCUGGAUAAAAGCACGGUGGGAUUUUUUCCCUGUGUGCAAUUUCCAUUUUGGUGGCAUUUCUGCUUCCUAAUAAAUUCCAGACAGUCAAAGUCGACACCCAAAUUCUGUUUUUAUGUAUUUCAGCUUUCUGGAUUCAGCCACACUUUGUUUGGGAGAUGUCCUACUGGGAAGUUACUUAGAUUUAUGAAUAUUUGAUGAGCUUUUUUCAGAAAUGGGG